GACGUAGGGUGCAAGCGUUGUCCGGAAUUAUUGGGCGUAAAGAGCUCGGUAGGCGGUCUGUCGCGUCGGCUGUGAAAUCCCGAGGCUCAACCUCGGGUCUGCAGUCGAUACGGGCAAACUAGAGUAUUGCAGGGGAGACUGGAAUUCCUGGUGUAGCGGUAGAAAUGCGCAGAUAUCGGGAGGAACACCCGUAGCGAAGGCGGCACUCUGGGCCGGAACUGACGCUGAGGAGACGAAAGCGUGGGGAGCAAACAGG
rnacentral:rRNA from 1 species